AUUGAACGCUGGCGGCAGGCCUAACACAUGCAAGUCGAACGGUAACAGGAAACAGCUUGCUGUUUCGCUGACGAGUGGCGGACGGGUGAGUAAUGUCUGGGAAACUGCCUGAUGGAGGGGGAUAACUACUGGAAACGGUAGCUAAUACCGCAUAACGUCGCGAGACCAAAGAGGGGGACCUUCGGGCCUCUUGCCAUCGGAUGUGCCCAGAUGGGAUUAGCUAGUAGGUGGGGUAACGGCUCACCUAGGCGACGAUCCCUAGCUGGUCUGAGAGGAUGACCAGCCACACUGGAACUGAGACACGGUCCAGACUCCUACGGGAGGCAGCAGUGGGGAAUAUUGCACAAUGGGCGCAAGCCUGAUGCAGCCAUGCCGCGUGUAUGAAGAAGGCCUUCGGGUUGUAAAGUACUUUCAGCGGGGAUGAAGGGAGUAAAGUUAAUACCUUUGCUCAUUGACGUUACCCGCAGAAGAAGCACCGGCUAACUCCGUG
rnacentral:rRNA from 1 species